rnacentral:rRNA from 1 species
GACGAACCGGAGCGAACGUUGUUCGGAAUCACUGGGCUUAAAGGGCGCGUAGGCGGGUGCUCAAGUCUGUGGUGGAAAUCCUCCCGGCUCAACCGGAGAACUGCCAUGGAUACUGGGUGCCUCGAGGGUGGUAGGGGUAUGCGGAACUAUCGGUGGAGCGGUGAAAUGCGUUGAUAUCGAUAGGAACUCCGGUGGCGAAGGCGGCAUACUGGACCACAUCUGACGCUGAGGCGCGAAAGCCAGGGGAGCAAACGGG